rnacentral:rRNA from 1 species
AUUGAACGCUGGCGGCAGGCCUAACACAUGCAAGUCGAACGAGUGGCGGACGGGUGAGUAAUGUCUGAGAAACUUCCUGAUGGAGGGGGAUCAAUACUGGAAACGGUAGCUAAUAACGCAUACCAUCAGAUUUGCCCAGAUGUGAUUGGCUUGUGGGUGGGUUAACGGCUCACCAAGGCGACGAUCCCUAGCUGGUCUGAUAGGAUGACCAGCCAAACUGGAACUGAGAACCGGGCAAGACCCCUACGGGAGGCAGCAGGGGGGAAUAUUGGACAAGGGGCGAAAGCCUGAUGCAGCCAUGCCGCGUGUAUGAAGAAGGCUUUCGGGUUGUAAAGUCCUUUCAGCGGGGAGGCGUUACCCGCAGAAGAAGCACCGGCUAACUCCGUGCCAGCAGCCGCGGUAAUUC